UCUCUCUCUCUCUCUCUUAAAUCUCUGCAAAAGCAAAGGCGAUUUCUAGAUGAAAAUAUAUGGGAACUUGAAGUUUGAUUUAUGCCAACCAUCUGGAUAUGUGUUUCAGAAGAUUCGAUGGGUACUUAACUACAGUUGUAUUAUUGUCUGCUUCAUAUGAGGAACCUCUUAAAAGUAAAGCCUAAUCUAACUGCAAACCCUACUGUCAAUAAGGGAACUCCGAUCCACCAGUUCUCUGGCGAAGCAGCUAGUCCUCUAUCCGUGAGUUGUGCCUGUUAUGACAACUGUUUGUAAUUUGUAAUUUUUUAAGAAAUUUUCAUACACUAUUCCGAAAAUAUAUAAUUUUUUUUUGUAAUUAACUUUUCUUUUUUAAGAGAGAGAGAAACCAAUUUGAUGGAAAGGAGAAAG
rnacentral:misc_RNA from 1 species